AGAAACAGGGCCCAAUCGAGGUGAAAUCUCGCCCAAGUGUCACAGGGAGCUCGCCCGGGCUUGAAUUGGCAGUCAUGUAGGGCCUGGGCACCAGAUUUGGACACCCAAGCUUUGAGCGUCCACCACCCAGGCAUCGAGGCCACCGCCCGGGCGACCAGCGCUGAUGUUGAUAGCGUAGUUUUUCGUUCCUUGUCGUUUGGGCAUCACGUUUUCC
rnacentral:lncRNA from 1 species